CCUACUGCCAAUACUGAGGAACACUCACUUUACAUAACUGCUUGUCCUGGUCAGGGUCACAGCAGUCUGGAGCAUAUCCCAGAAUCAAUGGGCAAAAGGCAGGGGGUUACACCUUGGAAAGGACACCAGGAAUAGAAGAACUGCAAACUUGUGGAUAACAUGAUUCAAAAGCUACAGAGAAAAGGAAAUACAGAUAAAAGUUGGGGGGGCAAAAAGCCCCUGAAUUAGAAAGAAAGCUGUGGCCAUUCAGGUUUGAGGAGGCAGCCCUGGUACAGAGGCCUACAGCUGUGGGAGUCACUGUGAGGGAGUCUGGUGUGUCACCUGCUGACAGUGACACUCAAAAGAUGGAUACAAGCAACAAGGAGAUCAACCAAGAAGAGCAGCCAAAAAUGAACACAAGGCACCUCAGGGUGGACUGAUCAAUGAUUUGAUCAAGUACCUUGAGAGCCUGAUAGAUAAAUGCUUUGUUCUGAAGGAACUGACAUAAGGCUACAGCAGCAUAUAUACAACAAAAUAGUGAAAGACAACACUAGAAUAGUACAGGAAUAUACGCAUUUCUAUCACACCUAGAUGACCUUUGCAGAAUGAAUCUCAAAAGAUGCCAGUGGGAGACAAGUACGUACAUUUGAUCUGAACCAUAACGUGCUGCGUAAGGACAAUAACUAUCAUCUUGGAAAAUUACACUUCAGAAGACAAUUCUACAUUAACCAAACCUGCUCCUGUGAUGUACAGUUGGGAAUCCAACUGGGAAUCCAACCCUCUUUUUUGGUUUUAUGCUUGAAGUGGAGACAGUGAUAUUAGAAGUCCACGUGUUCUCCCAAAGGAAAGACCAUGAACACCACAUAAUGAAGAGUGGAUGGAUGAGGAACAAUAUAACAAUUCUUAUAGUGAUUGUGAAAAGUGAAAAGUUAUAUAAAACUGGACUUUGGCACUGUCAGCAUAAGGAGUUGAACUUCCUUGUAGAAGAUCAAUACUUGCUUUCACGUCUCUGUGUUUCCCCACUAUUGAAGGUCCUGUCCAAGAAACCCAAGUCUUUUUUUACUUUUUGGGCUGACAAUUAUCCUACUAGGUCAUCACACCAACUAAUAUAUAUCCUUGACAUCUCAAAAUAAGAUGUAAAUUGGGAUUCUGACAGGCUGAUCAUUUUCUUAGGCACCCUAUCACUAUGUUUAGUUGCGGUUAUUGAUAUUACCAGAGAGCACUUUGACUCUGAUCCUUUUUUUUGUUCUAUGCUUAAAGUGGAGACAGUGAUAUUAGAAGUCCAUGAUGCUACCAGUAAUGUAAUUUCCUAUAAGUCACCUACAAAAAAAAGCUCCUACGGCGAUCUUAUAUUAAACUGGGGGAGUCCUUGAAGCAAUAAAACCAGGUAAAACUGGAAACCGAAGAAGUGCAGUGCCACUGUUAUUUGCUCCCUAAUGCUAAGGCAGUAAUUCAUCAUAGAGGCAGGACAACAUGGGAGGAGGGAAAGCCAUUACCUGUCCCAUUACAGCAAAAACUGCUAAUGCAGCCUUACACAGUAAUGACAGCAGAACCUCAGAGGCAAGUUUCCAUUGCACAAAGUAAAAAGGUAAACAGCCAGCAACACCAUGUCCCAAUAUUUCACAUUGCACUACACUGAAACUGUAAUUCAGAAGAAUGUGCAUGUUUGAGGUGCUGCUUCUGGGUUGAAAUCAGGUUAAAUUAUCUUCGUGUUGAUUAAAGUGUGCUUCAGAUGAUGACUUAUCACAUAAAAAUCUUAACAUUUCCCAGGCUGUGCAGGAAGAUUUGUGAACAAACAGCGACAAAAAAAAAAAACAGACCCUGUCUGGUUCUAAAAAGUACACCUUCUAGAAGCAAAUCAGGGCAAAAUGAGGGGCUGAGGUGAAUGUGAGUGAAUGUGUGAAUGAUGGAAGUAGCUAUAGAAAGGGAAAAAAUACGAAACAAACCAAGUAAUGUUUCUUCAAGUUUUUUUUUUUUUUUUUUUUUUUUUUUUUAAAAUGACAAGUCCGUAAAUUCCUGCAAAGUACAAAACAGAUGAGUGUGGGAGAGUGGUUGAGAAGUUGGUCCCAGAGGCACCUGUGGGAUGAGACGCGCGCACAUACACAUAUACACAGACACGCACACACACACACGUUCCCUCCUAAGGCACGGGGCAGGCCCCAAACCCAGCAGCACUGGCAGGGCAUGAGCCAAAGAACCCAACGGAACCUUGUACAAAAAUAACUUUAAACACACAGUUUACAAAAAAAAAAAAAA